ACCUGGAGUCUGCUGGGAUAUGGGGCUGUAGUAGGGUAUAGGAGCAGUGGUGCAAUGUGUGAGGGGUGCAAUGUGUGUGAAAGGUUCAGUGUGUGGGUGUGGGGGGCAGUGUGUGAAUGUGUAUGGUGUGUGUGUGUGGGGGCAGUGUGUGAAUGUGUAUGGUGUGUGUGUGUAGGGGCAGUGUGUGAAUGUGUAUGGUGUGUGUGGGGGCAGUGUGUGUAUGGG